AAGGGUAUAGCUCAGUGGUAGAGUGCAUGCCUAGCAUGUAUGAGGUCCUGGGUUCAACCCCCAAUGCCUCCA
rnacentral:tRNA from 1 species